ensembl:lncRNA
CUUUGAAGAGAAGGAGGAGUCCAUGCUUCUCUGUGUUGAAGAUACAUGUCUGGCAGAUGAGGUACAACUGGAGCAAGUGCCUCUGACACCCACUAUUAUCAUGUGUGGACAGUCCUGCUAUUCCUCAAGAAGAUACAUGCUGAGUGUUGAUCGGCACCUCGUCAGCACAAACAUAUCCUCCUUCAUUUCUGCACUGUGCCUCAUGUUCGGGAGCUACUACAAUUUCAACAUCCAUUAUCCAUCUGAGCUGGCUUCCACUUUAGAGUUUCUUCAGAGGUGAACAAAUAUGGCUUUGUUAUUUCUCAUAACUGAGACUCUGGGAUCUGGAGUCUGGCUUUGAUGUGGUUCGAGUCCAGGUCUGGCUCUGAGUCUCGGUCGGCUUUGGAGCCGGUUUCAGUUGUUUUUUCUGUUUUUUGUUGUUGUUUUUUUUGUUUGUUUGGUUUUUUUAAAUACAUUAACAGUCUGAAUCUGGGUCCAAGCCUGGCCGAGACUCAGGGCUAGACCAAGCGUCAACUGACGUCUGACUACCUAUAACCUUUGCUUUGGAUUUUAACAAUGCUAAAGUGUGACAUAUCACUGCAGAAGACACUCGUGAAGGGUGCCAAUACUUUUGACCAUGCAUUGUUCACUUCCCCACAGCAUUUUGGUUAUACUUUGUCUUGAACGUGGUCAUGGCCAUGACUGUAUAUAUAUGUAUAUACUUAAUUUUUACUUACUUUGUAUGUGUAUUUUAACUGAUCAAUUAUAAAAA